CUCUCUCUCUCUCUCUCUCUCUCUCUCUCUCUCUCUCUCCCCCCCUUCUCUUCUUUCGAAGUGGGGAAAAUAAUUCAAGCCUACUGAGGAUUCCAAAUGAAGGACCCACCAUGGCUUGACUUGCUUUGAUAUGCCAUAAAGAAAGGUGGCCAAAGGAAUUGGAAGAAAAGAAGAUGAGCCUGAAAAGCCCCAUUUUUUAGCUUGUAAUAAAUAUUGUGCUGGAAGGAGAUGAGCUUGCAGUUGGCUGGGACUUGGAACGAAGCGAUCAGAUUAUAAUAGCUCUUCUGUUCUUCAGCUCUCUCUUUCCUAUACCCUUCAACUCUUCCAGACAUCGGAGUUCUACUUUCAGUGUAUUGGCUUCUAAGGAUUGUUCUUGAAAACACACUUGCACACCAUAAUUCCGUCUCGAUUGCCCCCCUUAAAGCGUCAUCUUUCCUCUAUAUAUUCAUGCAGUUUUAUAAUUUAUGUUAUAUAUUAUUGGGGGAGCAUAUGUAUGCCUCCGUACAGGUAUCCUUGUUUAUGCGAAUAUAACCAAUGUUAUUUCCAAAACACUUAAAGAUAUCUUCCAGUCUAUGUGUAUUCAUGACUUGUAGAGCACGUAUAUUCAACUGGCU
rnacentral:lncRNA from 1 species